UACGGGGGGAGCAAGCGUUGUUCGGAUUUACUGGGCGUAAAGGGCGCGUAGGCGGUCGUGACAAGUCACUUGUGAAAUCUCCGGGCUUAACUCGGAACGGUCAAGUGAUACUGUCGGACUAGAGUACAGAAGGGGCAACUGGAAUUCUCGGUGUAGAGGUGAAAUUCGUAGAUAUCGAGAGGAACACCGGUGGCGAAGGCGGCUUUCUGGACGGUGAUUGACGCUGAGACGCGAAAGCGUGGGGAGCAAACAGG
rnacentral:rRNA from 1 species